rnacentral:rRNA from 1 species
GACGAACGCUGGCGGCGUGCCUAAUACAUGCAAGUAGAACGCUGAAGAGAGGAGCUUGCUCUUCUUGGAAGAGUUGCGAACGGGUGAGUAACGCGUAGGUAACCUGCCUUGUAGCGGGGGAUAACUAUUGGAAACGAUAGCUAAUACCGCAUAACAAUGGGUGACCCAUGUCAUUCAUUUGAAAGGGGCAACUGCUCCACUACAAGAUGGACCUGCGUUGUAUUAGCUAGUAGGUGAGGUAACGGCUCACCUAGGCGACGAUACAUAGCCGACCUGAGAGGGUGAUCGGCCACACUGGGACUGAGACACGGCCCAGACUCCUACGGGAGGCAGCAGUAGGGAAUCUUCGGCAAUGGGGGGAACCCUGACCGAGCAACGCCGCGUGAGUGAAGAAGGUUUUCGGAUCGUAAAGCUCUGUUGUAAGAGAAGAACGAGUGUGAGAGUGGAAAGUUCACACUGUGACGGUAUCUUACCAGAAAGGGACGGCUAACUACGUGCCAGCAGCCGCGGUAAUACGUAGGUCCCGAGCGUUGUCCGGAUUUAUUGGGCGUAAAGCGAGCGCAGGCGGUUAGAUAAGUCUGAAGUUAAAGGCUGUGGCUUAACCAUAGUACGCUUUGGAAACUGUUUAACUUGAGUGCAAGAGGGGAGAGUGGAAUUCCAUGUGUAGCGGUGAAAUGCGUAGAUAUAUGGAGGAACACCGGUGGCGAAAGCGGCUCUCUGGCUUGUAACUGACGCUGAGGCUCGAAAGCGUGGGGAGCAAACAGG